UACGGAGGAUCCGAGCGUUAUCCGGAUUUAUUGGGUUUAAAGGGUGCGCAGGCGGGAGAUUAAGUCGGCGGUGAAAUUUUGCAGCUCAACUGUAAAAGUGCCUUCGAAACUGGUUUCCUUGAGUGUAGAUGAAGUAGGCGGAAUUUGUGGUGUAGCGGUGAAAUGCAUAGAUAUCACGAGGAACUCCGAUUGCGGAGGCAGCUUACUAAACUACUACUGACGCUCAGGCACGAAGGCGUGGGGAUCAAACAGGAUUAGAUACCCUGGUAGU
rnacentral:rRNA from 1 species